rnacentral:tRNA from 1 species
GCCUAGUUAGCUUAGUUGGUAGUGCGUCUGCCUUGUAAGCGCUAGGCCGCGGGUUCGAUUCCUGCCCCGGGCG